CUGGAAUCCGGAUGCCUUGGCGGGCGGGGCCGCUGGCCCUGCUGGGAGGGGUUGAGGCCCAGCUUGUCCCCUGCCGGCCUCCCCUGCCCUCUGCUGCUCCUCGCACCACAGAGCCUGCCUUCUUCGCAACCUUAGGCUCCUAUCAGCUUUCUUUGGUGCCUGAUAAUUCUGGACUGAUGACAGCCUGGCCAGCGCAUGGGCCACAGCCCUGCUCCCCCCACUCGGGUCAGGUCCCCUUUCCUCCUGUCCCCCAGCAGCUUUCCCUGGGCCCAUUUUUUUUUUUUUUUUUUGUCCUGGCCUCUUCCCCAUUAAUUGCUUUUCUCUGCAGCCUUUGUUUUCUUUAUCAAAGUGCUUGCUCUGAAGGCUUACACUUCAGAUUCCUGCCCCUGGUGCCCUUGGCCUGUUGGUUAUUUAAUUUUUCUUUCAUUCCCUUGCCUGUCAGGCAACUUCUGCACGCUGAUUGUUUUCACUCUUGAAAGUCUCCAAACAAAGAUCGCAGCCUUGUAGGUAAGGUUGAAAAAAAUUAGAACACUCUUGGUGUGUGCAGGAGCGUGUAUGUGUGCACACAUGCACACACACACACACACACAAGUUAGAAAAAAGUGUAUUUGGACCCACCCACGUUCUUAGAAGCACAGAAUUUUACUGAUAAAAGGGCUUUCCACGCUUUCUGAUGACCCUCACAGCAACAUGUCCACUAAUGCCUGCACUCUUGCUUCAUAAAUUGCUGGACAGAAUUUCUUUUUGGUUUUGUUUUAGUCACUCAAAUAAAUAUAUGUAAAAGUUAACUUCGGCUGGCGGAUGGGGUUUUAGAGAUAUAGUCCGGUUGAAAGGAUUGUGUUUUCAUAGAAUGAGGCAGCACUAUAUGACAACGCCCAGCAUCUGUGCCUAGAUAGGUCCAGCCAUGUAGGGUGGGGCCAAAGCAGCCGUGGAACAGAACACGCUGGGUCUUUGGGGAUGAAUGGUAUUUGGAUUCAGGAGGCUUUUCUUUUCUUCUUCUUCUUCUUAUUUUUUUUUUAAACUGUACUGGGGGUUGAACCCCAGUCCUCAGGUAUCCUAAGUGAAAUCUCUAGCCGCCAGCCAAGUUCUUCUGAUCUCCCCUUCCUUUCCCUUCCCUUUCUCCUUCCUUCCUUU
rnacentral:lncRNA from 1 species